AGUGAACGCUGGCGGUAGGCCUAACACAUGCAAGUCGAACGGCAGCACAGGAGAGCUUGCUCUCUGGGUGGCGAGUGGCGGACGGGUGAGGAAUACAUCGGAAUCUACCUUUUCGUGGGGGAUAACGUAGGGAAACUUACGCUAAUACCGCAUACGACCUACGGGUGAAAGUGGGGGACCGCAAGGCCUCACGCGAUUAGAUGAGCCGAUGUCCGAUUAGCUAGGUGGCGGGGUAAUGGCCCACCAAGGCGACGAUCGGUAGCUGGUCUGAGAGGAUGAUCAGCCACACUGGAACUGAGACACGGUCCAGACUCCGACGGGAGGCAGCAGUGGGGAAUAUUGGACAAUGGGCGCAAGCCUGAUCCAGCCAUACCGCGUGGGUGAAGAAGGCCUUCGGGUUGUAAAGCCCUUUUGUUGGGAAAGAAAUCCUGUCGAUUAAUACUCGGUGGGGAUGACGGUACCCAAAGAAUAAGCACCGGUUAACUUCGUGCCAGCAGCCGCGGUAACAC
rnacentral:rRNA from 1 species